CAAAAUCCCGCAAGUAUCCAGAAUUAUAUCAUACACCAUGGAUUGCUGUGAGCUUAUUGAAAUAUUUCUGGCUUUCCUCAACGAUUUAUUCUUCUCCGAUAUAACGGACGAGGAUUACUUUGGG
rnacentral:sRNA from 1 species